CCCCUGAGCUGACUCCCUUCUGGGCAGUGAGUUUCUCUCUGCUUAUGGUGCUCGGAAGACUCAGGCUAAACAGCGACCAACUUGCACCCCCUGGGCUCUGCAGUGAACUUCCUGAGCUUGCUGCGGAAGUCAGAGGUCUUUUCCCCAGGGCCCAGCCCCAUGCAUCUUACACACAUGUCACUUCUCUUGUUCAUCAUCACCACUGGGGAACCCCGCCGCCCCAAGGAGGGGUCAGAUCACAGAAGGAAGUUCAGACAGCCAGUCCCAAACCUGGCAUGCAAUGCAGCCCUGGGACCGGGAAGGGGAGUCUGAGGUGCCCAGCUCUCUACUCCCCUAGGGGGUAACCUUGACCUGGUGCCUUUCCUGGGCGUCUACAUCUUAGCCACCGAAUGGAGCACUGAGCCUGGACGCUCCUGUUGUCCAGGCCAGCAAAAGUCUUCCAUGUCAUGUCUUCCACGGACAUGAUCAUGUCAUUGGUGUUACCCACUUUUGACAGAGACCAAGCACUUGGUCUCCUUAAAGCGUACUGAUUUGCCUAACUACCUUGAGGUUUUGACAGCAUCUCUUAAAAGCAGCUCCCGGCCUUGGGCUGAGCUCCAGAUGUACUUAUAGGUACAACCUGAAUGUUCCUUCCUAUUAAAUUGAUAGCGAAAUUCCUCCCUUCUUUUCUCUUCACCUUUUUAUCCUGGUCCAACCUGCUGGGGCCCUGGCCAGUCCUGUCAACUUAUCAAAAAGCAGGUAUUGGAUUCUGCUGAUUUUUUUAGAAACCUCUCAGAAUUUAUUUUUCCCUUCAGCUGCUGAAGCCUCAACCCUGACUCAGAUUUGGCCCUGCUCAGAUGUUCACCACGGUACCCACAGCAACGAGCUCAAUGUGCAGCACACAGAACGUGCCCAUAGAAUUACCUGGCGGAGAUAACGGAGAGGAAGGGCCGCUUGUCCUUGGCAGAGGCCUGGGUAGUUUUGACUCCGUUGUCUAUGAUCAUGCCAGCCUGGGGAGAGGGGACAUUCAGGGACACAUGAGCUUGGACAGCAGAUUGCAGGCAUCUUCUCACACCCAGCCUCACUGCGUACUCUUGAAUACUCCAGUGAAACCAGCUUCGCUCUCAGGAUGCAUUAAUAGAAGUAGGGGGUCUGCAACGAGGGAGGUGAAGAACCUGCAUUGCUCUGCAUUGCUCAAGUCAAAUCUGGAAUAAGGUGUCCUCUCAGAGGUGCACACGAGGACCCUGAGGAAGGGAUCUCAACAAGCAGCACUGCCCCCUGCUCCCCACCGUCCCCAGAGCCUCUGCACCUGCUCUGCAUGGAGACGGCUCUCCCAGGCCCACGGCAGCCUCAGGACCCUCUGUUUCUUCAUCUGUACCACCAGGGAGUGGACCAGAACAACAGCCUUGACAUUCGGGCCUCUACCUGCACACUGCCCCUGCGUCCCCAAGACCAUCUCUGUCCCCAGCGUGGCGUCUCUGGUCUCAGCCUCGCUCCUCAGCUCCAUUCCCACGUGCCCACGACUCUGGUCUGGAUGCUGUCCUCAACUGGGGGCCCUUGACACGCUCGAGAGCCCGGUCCCUUUCCCCAGCACCUGGCUUGGUGCUGGACACACAGAACUACUGAUGAGCAAACGAAGAGGACAGAAAUUUCUGUUUUCCACCUGCCUCCUUGGCACUGCAUGGAUGGAGGACCCGCUUCCCAGAAAAAGAAAGCGGCCAGAGGAGAGGACGCUGAUGCUGCCUGCAUCUUCCUGCAGAGCCAGGUCCUGACCUUCCCCAGCUCACACAUCAGGCCUGGCUUUUCGGAGUCACCACCGCGCCCAUCCCCACCAAGUGAACCGCGAAAGCAAACUCAGGGGCCCGGCUCCAGGGCUGCCAGGGGGAGCUGUGGCUCUUCCGGCUCUAAUCAUGCGCAGGCCUGGGAAGGAGGACGAGUGGGCGGGCGGGGAGGCGUGGCCUGGAAGGACUUACCCGGUAGUUGGAGUGUGCUCGGUUGUUAAGGAAUUUCCCCAGUGGGAUGUGCUCUGAAUAACCUGGGGAGUACAUUCCGGCCGAGGGGCCCGUCGGUACGUGGUGGAAAAUGAACCAAAAUCCAGUUUCCUGGUGGAGGAGGACACGGGGGGAAAGCCACAGGAUUCAGCACCAGGGAGCUUCUUGUUGGGGUGACUGGAUGGCCCAAACUAGGGGUGGGCCUAGCGCUAUCACCCAAAUGGCCCCAACGCCCAUUCCCAAACACACCCGCGGAAACAGCGAGAAGUUUGAGGCGAAUAUAUUUUGGGGGGUGGGCGUCCAUCCUGACUGUUAAAACCCUUCUGUGGUCCUACUGUAUCAGUGGUCCUACUGUAUCAGCCAUGGGCGCCAAAUGGCUGGAUUUCAGAGUCACUGCCGGGGUUAAUCUCCCUCUCCUGACACAUAAUGGGAGGAUUUCCUGAGUGUUCCUGGCUUUACCCUUUCAUUCUGCAGCUAUGGAAGCUGAGGCCCAGAGAUGGCACCUGACCUGCUCCCAAG